GACGAACGCUGGCGGCGUGCUUAACACAUGCAAGUCGAACGGAAAGGCCCUGCUUUCAGGGUGCUCGAGUGGCGAACGGGUGAGUAACACGCGGGUGUUACGCCCUGCACUUCGUGAUAUGCUUUGGAAACUGGGUCUAAUACCGCAUAGGAGCCCUCCUUAUUGUUGGGGUUGGAAAGUUUUUUUGGUGUAGGAUGAGCUCGCGGCCUAUCUGAGUGUUGGUGGGGGGAUGGCCUACCAAGGCGGCGACGGGUGGCCGGCCUGUGAGGGGGUAAGGCCACAUGGGGAGUCAGAGAUAGCGCAGAGUCCUACGGGGGGCAGCAGAGGGGAAUAUUGUGCAAUGGGGGCAAGCCUGAUGCAGCGACGCCGCGUGUGGGAUGAAGGCGUUCGGGGUGUAAACUCCUUUCGCGAGGGACAAAGCUUGUGUGUGACGGUACCUAGAUAAGAAGCACCGGCUAACUACGUG
rnacentral:rRNA from 1 species